rnacentral:misc_RNA from 1 species
AACUAGCCCUGAUAGUAGCGGUUACCCCGGAACAAGCUUUGGGAAAGCCUUGGCGUGAGGAGUAUGAGCGGAUAGCAGGUUCUUGG